CUGCUUUGAGACAAUGUCUAUUGUAAAAAGCGCUAUAAAAAUAAACUUGAAUUGAAUUGAAUUGAAUUAUUCAAUGCUUUUGUGUAAAAUUAAAGAAAAGUGCUACAUAAUUCAGUCCACAUAGACUGCUAUUGUGUUCACUAUGUGAAAAGAUUUACAAAUGUAAACACAGUAUUGGGAAAUAGAUUUAACCAAAAAAUGUAAAUAAAGCACAAUGUAGGAGGUGAAACUGGGGCCUGUUUCAGAAAGGAGGUUCAACCAACUCUGAAUUUAAACUUGAACUCUGAGUUGACAAACCCUGAGAUGGGAAACUCUGAGUUUUCGGUUACAUAACAGCUGAAAUGAGUUAGUUUAAUCAAUUCUAAAUUGACUGACUCUGAAAAGCCAUUAUCAAUGAAGCGCAGAUAUAAUGAGUCACCAUGGCAACAGCGUCAGACAAAAAGAGAACUGUUUAUGAAAAGGCAGAAUUGUGUGUGUUUACAUUUUAAUUACUUUUAUACAGUGUUGGGUAUAAUUAAUUACUAAGUAAUCUAAAUACUGUAAUUUAAUUAAAGACUAUGAAACAAAAACAAGCCCGAUUUUUUUCUGUAUUAAAAAAAUUGUUGAUUUAAUAUCAAAUUUUAAAAGGUAUUUUUUCUCCCUUUACAUCCCUUUAUUUUCUCCCUUUAGUUACAUACUUUGUUCAAUUCAAGGAUAAUUCAUGCAAUUGUAUAUUGUUUAUUUAAAAGCAGUAGAAAUGCAGUUUCUUGUCUCUCCUUAUUGGUCAAUUGGUUGAGGUUGAUUUAAGACUUAGAAAGUAAUUAAUAAGUAAGGAGACCAAAUUAGUUAGUAGACCAAUACUUUCUACAGAUAGUAAUUAUUACAUUAAUCUAAUUAGACUGGUUGAAGAUGUAAUUUGUAGUUAGUAAUUACUGUAACAACUAUUUUAGAGUAAAUUCCCAACUGUUAUAAUAUUAGAGGUGAAACUGGAAGAACAGUAUUUUAUUAAGCCUAUUAAUUUAAUUUUCAUGUAUAGGUGCAAUCCUGCAGGCAGUAAAAGGAUGUGGCAGCAGCUUAAUGAAAUAUAAAAACAUAAUUCAAUCAUCCAACAGAAAGAAGGCAGAGGCUCACAAAACGGGGGGAGGACCUGCACCACCACCUCUGACAAAUGCAGAGGAGAUGGUACUGAGCCUGAAUGCUGGAAGGCCAAUGGCUGAGGGAAUUCCUUGAGGGACUUCAUCAGAGCCAGUCACUCCAGAAGAUUUAAGUGCCUUCAUAAAAUAUUCGUCCCUCCUGUCCCAACAGAACCCAGGCAGUUGAUGGCGGGGAUGAAGAAACCGUUUCUGCUGCCACAGAUAGACCUACUAAGGUAAUGUUAAUAUCAUGUGUCUACACAUCAAACAAUCUACACACUCACAUUUCUUCACAUUUUUAUGUGGAGUAGCCUAUAGAAUCUAAGUUUAUAUCUAUAAAUUAUAUCAUUCUUAUCUUCUUAUUUUUUUAAAAUAAAGAACACCAUAUAAAUUGCUGUGAUUUUGUGUUUAUUCAUUUUUUUUUUUGUUUGUUUGGUGGUGGUGGUGGAGGUGGAUAUCAUGAUUAAUUAGCCUUAGCCUAAUAUGUUCUGCAUCCCCGAUGUUCUACAGAAAACUACCAUUUGAAAAGAAACGUAAGGCAACGUAAAGCAUCUGCUUGGAUGGAAGAGCACUGUUUCUGAUGUAAGGAUGGAUGAGAUUAUGGACGUAUCUUAUUGACUGUAAAGAAAAACAGUACUGCUCAAAUAAAAAUGCAUAGGGAUAUGACAAAAAAUUCCGCUCUGGGCCUCAAAAUCCUCUCCCGAUGUACUGUAAAUGUAACUCCCUACGAAUUAAUACAACCUCUUCAUCAACAGGAUUGUGUCAGGACAUUUGUUUAUGUUUGUGUCUGCCCCGCUCUUGUCUUUUCCUGCCCACCUCUGCACGCCUGUUCCUUAUGUGUUUGUCGCAUGUAUUUAACUGUGCCGCGUUGCCCAUGGCAGCUUGGAAUCCUCGUCUUGUCACCCUGUUUAUUUUAGCUAUCCUGAAUUUGGGUCUGUUUUACCCCAGCAUCAGAAGGAUUCUACCACAACAAAACCCAGCAGGAUAGCGUCAGCCUAAACUGGCUCUGUGGGAGCAUUUUUUCCCCCCGGACUGUUUUUCUGGACUUUUGUUGUUUGGUGACAUCGGUCCGCAUUUUUCCGGUGAGGGACACCGCUCCGCUUUCGGUUCUCCGCAGGGGCACCGCCUCACUUCCUGUUUGCGGUCCAUGUCACAAGCCCGAGUUUUGUUUUGUUUUGUCGGUAUCCUGUGACAUCGCCCUGCUUCCUGUCCGUGGGGGGUGUUGCAGGCCCGUG